UACGGAGGGAGCUAGCGUUGUUCGGAAUUACUGGGCGUAAAGCGCACGUAGGCGGCUAUUCAAGUCAGAGGUGAAAGCCCGGGGCUCAACCCCGGAACUGCCUUUGAAACUAGGUAGCUAGAAUCUUGGAGAGGUCAGUGGAAUUCCGAGUGUAGAGGUGAAAUUCGUAGAUAUUCGGAAGAACACCAGUGCGAAGGCGACUGACUGGACAAGUAUUGACGCUGAGGUGCGAAAGCGUGGGGAGCAAACAGG
rnacentral:rRNA from 1 species